ACUUAAAUUGAAGAGUUUGAUCAUGGCUCAGAUUGAACGCUGGCGGCAGGCCUAACACAUGCAAGUCGAGCGGUAGCACAGAGAGCUUGCUCUCGGGUGACGAGCGGCGGACGGGUGAGUAAUGUCUGGGAAACUGCCUGAUGGAGGGGGAUAACUACUGGAAACGGUAGCUAAUACCGCAUAACGUCGCAAGACCAAA
rnacentral:rRNA from 1 species